UACGUAGGGCGCAAGCGUUGUCCGGAAUUAUUGGGCGUAAAGAGCUCGUAGACGGCCUGUCGCGUCGGAUGUGAAAGCCCGGGGCUCAACCCCGGGUCUGCAUUCGAUACGGGCAGGCUAGAGUGUGGUAGGGGAGAUCGGAAUUCCUGGUGUAGCGGUGAAAUGCGCAGAUAUCAGGAGGAACACCGGUGGCGAAGGCGGAUCUCUGGGCCAUUACUGACGCUGAGGAGCGAAAGCGUGGGGAGCGAACAGG
rnacentral:rRNA from 1 species